rfam:Pan troglodytes isolate Yerkes chimp pedigree #C0471 (Clint) chromosome 3, whole genome shotgun sequence.
GCUGGGUGCGGUGGCUCACGCCUGUAAUCCUAGCAAUUUGGGAGGCUGAGGUGGGGGGAUCACCUGAGGUCAGGAGUUCGAGACCAGCCUGGCCAACAUGGUGAAACCCCAUCUCUA